UCAAGCACAUGGUAUUGAUCAUCCUUUCCCUUUUGGAUCCAAGGCAUACAGUGAGCCAUCUGGCUUGUCAAGCACAUGGUGUUGAUCACCCUGUAAGAUCACAGAAGUUCCCAGGAGUGUGAAACAGUGUCUGGGCCGAUGAAACACCUGUCCCCCACCCACC